AGGGCGCCGCCGCGUUGUACUGAGACACGGCCCAAACUCCUACGGGAGGCAGCAGUAGGGAAUCUUCGGCAAUGGACGAAAGUCUGACCGAGCAACGCCGCGUGAGUGAAGAAGGUUUUCGGAUCGUAAAACUCUGUUGUUAGAGAAGAACAAGGAUGAGAGUAACUGUUCAUCCCUUGACGGUAUCUAACCAGAAAGCACGGCUAACUACGUGCCAGCAGCCGCGGUAAUACGUAGGUGGCAAGCGUUGUCCGGAUUUAUUGGGCGUAAAGCGAGCGCAGGCGGUUUCUUAAGUCUGAUGUGAAAGCCCCCGGCUCAACCGGGGAGGGUCAUUGGAAACUG
rnacentral:rRNA from 1 species